rnacentral:rRNA from 1 species
UUGAACGCUGGCGGCUGCUUAACACAUGCAAGUCGAACGGAGUGGCGAACGGGUGAGUAACGCGUGAGCAACCUGCCUAUGACAGUGGGAUAGCCUCGGGAAACCGGGAUUAAUACCGCAUAGUCAUAGAUGGGCUCGCGUCUGAUUAGCUAGUUGGUGAGAUAACAGCCCACCAAGGCGACGAUCAGUAGCCGGUCUGAGAGGAUGAACGGCCACAUUGGAACUAGGACACGGUCCAAACUCCUACGGGAGGCAGCAGUGGGGAAUAGAGCACAAUGGGGGAAGCCCUGAUGCAGCGAGGCCGCGAGAACGAAGAAGGUAUUCGUAUCGUAAAGUUCUGUCCUAUGAGAAGCAGUACCAUAGAAGAAAGCUCCGGCUAACUCCGUGCCAGCAGCCGCGGUAAUAC